AGAUGAUACUCUUAAUGAAAAUAUCGAAUGUAGAGUGCCUGAUUCUGAUAAAAAGAUGAGAAAAUAUUAUCUGAAAUAGUGGAUAAGAGGGUAGCUGUAAUAGAAUACUACUGUAAUAGAAUACUAUCUGUCCAAUGACCAAUGCCUCACUGUUGUAGAUACAUUAUUCCUGUCUUGAAACAGGUUGGUCAUACAUGUACACUCAACUUUAUAAGGGAAGAGCAUAUAUAUGAG
rnacentral:misc_RNA from 1 species